GGAGGAGUGCCAGAGUGGACGAAUGGGACCGCCUUGAAAGCGGUUAGGUGCCCAUAAGGUGCCUCGAGGGUUCGAAUCCUUCCUCCUCCG
rnacentral:tRNA from 1 species